rnacentral:lncRNA from 1 species
GCCUUAAAUAGCCGGGCUGCUGCAGACACGCGCUUGGUAGCUGAGCCUGGGACCCGCGGGAGAAGUGCCUGGGAAACCGCGCGCCCAGCCUGCCCUCGGCUGGGGGUGGCGAAGGGGCGCACCAUGCCUGCGGACAUCCCGGGGAAGCCGAGGGCCUCGCCGCGGGCGGGAGCGGCGGGGGGGGCGGCCCCGGCCCCCGCACACCCCCCCGCCGCCGNNNNNNNNNNNNNNNNNGCCCCCUCCUGGACGCCCUCAGGAAAGGGGUGGGUUGGGGGGGGGGACAAGACUGGGGAGCCUGGAAUCCCGGCCUUCCUGGGCGGCCCGCCGCCCUCACCGGCCCCGCCCGCAGAGCUCCCGCCGCUCGAAGCUGGAGAAGGCGGACAUCCUGGAGCUGACCGUGAGGCACCUGCAGAGCCUGCGGCGCGUGCAGGUGACAGCUGCCCUCCGCUCAGACCCCGCCAUCCUGGGCAAGUAUCGCGCCGGCUUCCAUGAGUGUCUGGCCGAAGUGAAUCGCUUC